AAUAUUUAACGCCAUUGACUUUUUCCUAUAUGUUUGAUCGUUCGUCUUAUUCAAAAAAUUUACAUAAUUAUUAAUUAUUUUGAUAUCAUUUGAUUUACUAUUAAAUGUACUUUAAGCAUGUCAUACAGUUUUGCAUAUUUCACAAAAAAAAUUUAAUAAGACGAACGGUCAAACGUAUCUCAAAAAGUCAACGGCGUCAAAUAUU
rnacentral:pre_miRNA from 1 species